rnacentral:rRNA from 1 species
CCUACGGGAGGCAGCAGUAAGGAAUAUUGGGCAAUGGACGCAAGUCUGACCCAGCCAUGCCGCGUGCAGGAUGAAGGCCCUUUGGGUUGUAAACUGCUUUUAUCUGGGAAGAAAUCCACUGUUUCUACGGUGGUUGACGGUACCAGAGGAAUAAGCACCGGCUAACUCCGUGCCAGCAGCCGCGGUAAUACGGAGGGUGCAAGCGUUAUCCGGAUUCACUGGGUUUAAAGGGUGCGUAGGCGGGUUUUUAAGUCAGCGGUGAAAGCUCCGAGCUUAACUCGGAAAUUGCCGUUGAUACUAUUAAUCUUGAAUUUAGUUGAGGUGGGCGGAAUGUGUAGUGUAGCGGUGAAAUGCUUAGAUAUUACACAGAACACCUAUUGCGAAGGCAGCUCGCUAAACUAAUAUUGACGCUGAGGCACGAAAGCGUGGGGAUCAAACAGGAUUAGAAACCCUGGUAGUCCACGCCCUAAACGAUGAUUACUCGAUCCGUGCGAUACACUGUACGGGUCUAUGCAAAGCAUUAAGUAAUCCACCUGGAGUACGACCGCAAGGUUGAAACUUAAAGGAAUUGACGGNNGAGAGNGCGAGCGACGACGAGGGAGAG